GAGAAAAGCAAACAGAGCUAACUGGGUGGGGAAGAACAGACAAAUAUCCAGUAAGAUGAGGAGAAACAGCAGCCAGAAAGUGCUUCUUUGUUUCCACUUUGUUAUAAAGAAAUGCUGAAAAUCCCUUCUUUACAGCUAGAUCCAAAGUACUCUUAAAAGUCAAUGGGAUUUCAGUGGGUCUUGGAUCAGACCCUCUAAAAGAAUGGCAGCUAAUACAAUAGUGAAUGAGUGCCAUUUCUCUUCAUGAUUUACAGUGUUAUAACAGCAUUGCUAUACAUGGAAGUGUUCCACAGCCCAGGAUUUAACUGAUUAAACAGUACUGCAUGUGUCACCAUUAGGCUUGAAACAUCCACUGCCUGAUUUACUCUGUAGCUCACAUACCCCAAAUGUUUUGCAUUCUUGGACUAAAUUUGAUAGAUGUACUAGCAAACUUCUCUCUUGCGUUUGUUCUUCUUUCCAGGAAACACAGGCCGAAAUGGUAAGGGGUUUAGUUCUCCAGAUGGAAAGUGCCAGUGUGUCCAGCACAUUUUUUAGAACGUGUUGCAGAAGAUCUCAGGGCAGCUGAGCGACCUCCCAUCUGCUCUCAGGCCUGCCAGAACAGGGAGGAGAAAGGAGGGGAAAAGAGAGGAGCUGGCAGCAGAAGAGGUGAACAUGUCCAGAGAAGUAUGGGGACAAUGUCAUCCCAGCACCAUGCUAGGCUAAAACCUUCUGUAUAUCUGAAGACCUGACAGGUUGGUAUAUAGCUACAGCCAUUUUCAACCUGUUUUUUUGUUGAGGUACAUAUUAUUCAGAAACUACAACGUAGGCAAGUUACACAAGUGCACAGCCAAACAUGCUGUAUGUGCAGGGGUACACAGCAUGUGCACAAUGUGCACAUGCCUGUCAGAACUGUGACGUACGAUGAGAAUUUAGGUUGAUACCAACAACCAAACAAAAGAUACUUGUAGCAAAACACAGCCUGACCAUUAAUUAGUUCAGAUUUUAAUGUUCCAAUGUGCAGCGGAACCUAAUAAGCCUUUCAAAAGUGCCUAACUGUGAUUAAAUUUUGAAAACUUGUAUAUAUUUAUCUGCACCCUUAGGCUUUGGAUACCCCUAAAAGUUGGUCUGAAUGGCUGACAGUUUAAAAGUGGCUUUUUCCUACCUCUUCAGAUUUUGACCUCUACAGCCAGUACAUCCUUUGUUAUGAGCUACGUUGGAUUCACAGAUUGCUCUGACUCGAGUUGGUCCGCAUUUUCUCCUCUUCAACCUUUUCACCUAGAUCUCUUUUUUAGGUUGUGCCUCUUCCUGCAGGCCUGUGGGAGUGGAUAGCACUGUGCGUUCUGUGCCCUGAUGGUGCUUGAGGUACGCCCAGGGAGCCAUUUUAGUGGACUCUGCAAAUAGUGGAUUCUUAGUCUCAACAGCGCUACUCUUAGAGGCUAGAAAUGUGUUAAAGUUAAAGAGUCAAAAGCCUUGCAAGGGAAGGAAAUGAGAGGUCCUCUUGGCAGAAGCAAACAGAAAAUAAACAGCUAAACUCUUCACA
rnacentral:lncRNA from 1 species